rnacentral:rRNA from 1 species
CCUACGUGAGGCAGCAGUGAGGAAUAUUGGUCAAUGGCCGGAAGGCUGAACCAGCCAUGCCGCGUGAAGGUCAGUGCCCUAUGGGCGUUAAACUUCUUUUGUGCGGGAGCAAUAAUGGUCACGUGUGGCCAGACGAGAGUACCGUACGAAUAAGCAUCGGCUAACUCCGUGCCAGCAGCCGCGGUCAUACGGGGGAUGCAAGCGUUAUCCGGAUUUAUUGGGUUUAAAGGGUGCGUAGGCUGUGAGGUAAGUCAGCGGUGAAAUGCCCCCGCUCAACGGGGUGAAGUGCCAUUGAUACUGCCUUGAUGGAAUGCAGAUGCCGUGGGAGGAAUGUGUGGUGUAGCGGUGAAAUGCAUAGAUAUCACACAGAACACCGAUUGCGAAGGCAUCUCACGAAUCCGCGAUUGACGCUGAUGCACGAAAGCGUGGGUAUCAAACAGGAUUAGAUACCCUGGUAGUC